UACGAAGGGUGCAAGCGUUAAUCGGAAUUACUGGGCGUAAAGCGUGCGUAGGUGGUUUGUUAAGUCUGUUGUGAAAGCCCUGGGCUCAACCUGGGAAUGGCGAUGGAUACUGGCGAGCUAGAGUACGGUAGAGGAUGGUGGAAUUCCCGGUGUAGCGGUGAAAUGCGUAGAGAUCGGGAGGAACAUCAGUGGCGAAGGCGGCCAUCUGGACCAGUACUGACGCUGAGGCACGAAAGCGUGGGGAGCAAACAGG
rnacentral:rRNA from 1 species